CCUGAACGCUGGCGGCGUGGCUAAGACAUGCAAGUCGAACGGACGUAGCAAUACGUCAGUGGCGGACGGGUGAGUAAUGUAUCGCUAAUGUACCCCGGAGUCUGGGAUAGCUGCCCGAAAGGGCAGGUAAUACCGGAUGACAUCCCCUUAUCGCAUGAUGAGGGUCUCAAAGGAGCAAUCCGCUCUGGGAGCAGGCGAUAUCGUAUCAGGUAGUUGGNGGGGUAACGGCCCACCAAGCCGACGACGCGUAGCUGGUCUGAGAGGAC
rnacentral:rRNA from 1 species